UCCACACAUGAGCAGUCACGGAUUGGUGUGUCCCACAGGCUCCUUGCCUCUCGCAAUCAACCACCGAAGAGGCCAUCCUUCUUAGUCCUAUGCUCAUUCGUAUCUUUAGGCCAUCCUUUUUAGUCCAGUGCAUUGCGUGUGCCAUAUACCCGGCUCUGCAGGAAGUCAAUGUACCCCAUGUACCAGUUCGCCUUACCACCUUGAGCAGAAGGCACAACCACAAUGUGGUCGUCGCGCGGACCUUAACGACACAACCCUUGGGCCCCGUGCUAGCUAGGCUCCUGAAGUAUCGCAAGCUCUCGCGAAUGCAGUAGGCUUCGGGGACUUCAGCCUUCGGCCUGGACCUUGAUAGGUGAUUAAGCCACCCUCGUCGAGACAACGGUCGAUCCACCGAU
rnacentral:misc_RNA from 1 species